rnacentral:rRNA from 1 species
AUGCGAUACAUAACCAACUCCGGGAUGAUGACCCAGCUCAAGACGCUCUCGGAGGUCAUGUACCGAGGAUACAGUGUGCUGGACAACUCAAGGUACCGAACCGUCCAGGAUGGUGCAGAGGUUAGCAGCAAUGAGUCAUCUAGCAUCAGCUUGUAUUUAGUCAAGCGUUCUCGAACAAUAACUGAUAAGGCCGUGCGCCCCGAGUCACAUGGUGCCUUGGAAAGCUUAGAAAUUGCUGUUGCUAAUAUGACAGAAUUUGUUGUGCUUCUGGGUGGUUGCGAGCAGAUGCCUCGUAGGCCUUAUGAUGUAUCUUUACACCGAAAAAUUCAUGUUCAGUCGACAUGCUGA